AAUGGCAAACAGGGUAAGAAGAGGAAGCAUGCCAAAUCAUAUGAUCACAAACAAGAAGAUGUGAUAGUGGAUGAGGAAUUACUUCAAGGUGAAGAAUUACAAGAAAAGGUUAACUGAAAGAAGCACACAGUUCCCACUGCAGCAAAUAAGGGGAAAAUUAUCAAAUUUUUCAAAGACACUGCUGCUUAUCGUCAAAUGAUGCUAAAGAAGAGGACAGACAUGACCAUUACAGACUUCAUCACCACCUUUCCAAGGAUACAAGAGAUGCCAGAACUUAUCAACAUGGACUUUGAAGCAGAACAUGGGCACCUUUCUGACAAUUUUAUUUCAAAGUGGGAGUCGUUCUACCGAGACCGUAUCAUAAAAUUAGGUUUGAGCGGGUAUCCAGCGGUAAAAUAAUCAAUUCAACAGUUUUGAGGAAGGUGACAACAGAGACCUGUGUGGUUUAACUGCACUGUUGCUGAUGUUACAUAAGCCACUGACAAAGACCAAGAACCCCACCUCGAGUUCAAGAGCAUCGAGUUUGGAGCACUUCAUCCAGUACAGACCUAUUGGGACAGAUGUUCAAGCGGCAGCAGCUGGGAAGUCUGCUGAGUUUCGGCAGCCCUAUAUUCUAGCCCUUGGACACAGACGCAAGCCACUACAAUCUUGCGGAUCGAACUACUUCUUCAGUUUUCAACCAAUAUUCAUGAAAUUUGGCACAUACAUUGGUCUGUUGUGAGGAUGUGCAGACACAUUUUUCACAAAAGUAACUAGAAAACAAGGUGAUAUCUAGUUUGAUAUUACAUUGCUGAGAGUGAUUUAUUAUUCGUGAGUCAUAAGCUAAAGAAUCAAGCAUAAUUUACAGGGUCUUGCAUUAAGACAUAGAGACAAAUUUAACCCUAAAUAGACUGGGGAGGGGGAGGGUGAAAGGCCCCCCCUUGAAAUUUUUUUUUUGCCAUAAAUCUGUCGAUAAAUCUCAUGCAACUUUUGAGACCAAAUUUGGGACGCCUGGGUAUGCAGUCCGAAAUUAUGCAUAAUUAUGUAAGUGCAUGUCAGUCCCAAAAUUGCUCAAAAUGCAAAUUCUGUUUGUAGCCAAAAUUCAUACCGUUCUCUUUACUUUUACUGAUUAAAAUCAAUUAAUUUCAUGUUGUUUAAGAUCAUAAAAUUAUUGUCGACGAUUUCCAUCCAAAAAAAGUCGAAAACAAAGAAAUACAUAUGAAAUUUCAAAAACAAUUAAAUACUUAAAACACUUUGAUACUGAUUAUUUUUUGAUGUGCAUUUGGUCAGAAUCUCACAGGGAGUCUCUAAAAAGAUUAGCGGUACGAGGGCCUUAUAAUUUAAAACAGUCAAAUUCUAAUUUCAUGCAUAAAUUAGGAUAAUUAAUAACAAAUUAAUUUGAAUAAUUUUGGAACAAUCAAAUAGUAUACAGUUUUGUAGAUUAAGUCAUGGGUGACGUGCAUGACUAUUUUCGUUUUUCGAUUGCGCGAUCAACAAAGCUGAGAUGGGGGGGGGGGCCUUUAGGGCAUUUAACCCCCCCCCCCCCCAGUCUUUCCAUCCUCCAAAAUACUCCAGUCUGAUUAAGGUUAAACUUUCAUUUUCAUAUUUAUUUUGCUCUUUUUGUCUCACCUGAACAAAGUUCAGCAGAGACUU